rnacentral:rRNA from 1 species
AACGCGAAGAACCUUACCACCUUUUGACAUGCCUGGACCGCCGGAGAGAUCCGGUUUUCCCUUCGGGGACCAGGACACAGGUGCUGCAUGGCUGUCGUCAGCUCGUGUCGUGAGAUGUUGGGUUAAGUCCCGCAACGAGCGCAACCCUCGCCAUUAGUUGCCAGCAUUUAGUUGGGCACUCUAAUGGGACCGCCGGUGGUAAGCCGGAGGAAGGUGGGGAUGACGUCAAGUCCUCAUGGCCCUUACGGGGUGGGCUACACACGUGCUACAAUGGCGACUACAGAGGGCUGCAACCCAGCGAUGGUGAGCUAAUCCCUAAAAGUCGUCUCAGUUCGGAUCGCACUCUGCAACUCGAGUGCGUGAAGUCGGAAUCGCUAGUAAUCGCAGAUCAGCAUUGCUGCGGUGAAUACGUUCCCGGGUCUUGUACACACGC